UACGUAGGGUGCGAGCGUUGUCCGGAAUUAUUGGGCGUAAAGAGCUCGUAGGCGGUGUGUCACGUCGGCCGUGAAAACCUGCAGCUUAACUGUGGGCGUGCGGUCGAUACGGGCAUCACUGGAGUUCGGCAGGGGAGACUGGAAUUCCUGGUGUAGCGGUGAAAUGCGCAGAUAUCAGGAGGAACACCGGUGGCGAAGGCGGGUAGCUGGGCCAACACUGACGCUGGAUGACGCGAAAGCCUAGGGGAGCAAACGGG
rnacentral:rRNA from 1 species